AUUCCGCUCUCGGAUGGGUCAGGGCUGGGCAACUCUAGGAAUUAAAGGGACCGCCUUCGAACGCAGACUGGACGGAGAAAUUUAUUAUAAGGAAUAGUGGAAAGAGUGAGUUUGUAGCAAGGGGCUACAUCCUAGACUGGCAGAGCUGGGACGGACUUUAGACCAGAGAAUGUUAAAACUGGAAGAUAAAAUGUCAGGACUUGGAGGGUCUGAGAUACCAUCUGGACCAACCCCCUCGUUUUACAGAUAAGGGUGACCCUAGGACCUUGGAGAGCCCUUGAUUUCCACACGUGAAGCCAUUUCUGGAAGCAGGACGCCUUCUCCCCACACACUGCCCACCCUCUCUCUCCGCUAACUCUGGACACCAGACUUACUCUUGAAAAGCCUGAGUCCCUUCGUCCUUCCCCCAAUUUGUCCCACCGAAGCAUCUCAUUUCCAUCCACCUUCGCCUCCUCCAACCUUCCUCCUUCCCACCGGGAAGCCCCCCUUGGCUUGUUUUUCUCUAAAGAUUCUCUGACUAAAUACCACUCCUUGAAGG